CUGGCGGCAGGCCUAACACAUGCAAGUCGAGCGCAGUCCUUCGGGACCGAGCGGCGGACGGGUUAGUAACGCGUGGGAACGUACCCAGAUCUAAGGAAUAGCCUCGGGAAACUGAGAGUAAUACCUUAUACGCCCUUCGGGGGAAAGAUUUAUCGGAUUUGGAUCGGCCCGCGUUAGAUUAGAUAGUUGGUGGGGUAAUGGCCUACCAAGUCUACGAUCUAUAGCUGGUUUUAGAGGAUGAUCAGCAACACUGGGACUGAGACACGGCCCAGACUCCUACGGGAGGCAGCAGUGGGGAAUCUUAGACAAUGGGCGCAAGCCUGAUCUAGCCAUGCCGCGUGUGUGAUGAAGGCCUUAGGGUCGUAAAGCACUUUCGCCAGAGAUGAUAAUGACAGUAUCUGGUAAAGAAACCCCGGCUAACUCCGUGCCAGCAGCCGCGGUAAUACGGAGGGGGUUAGCGUUGUUCGGAAUUACUGGGCGUAAAGCGUACGUAGGCGGAUUAGUCAGUCAGAGGUGAAAUCCCAGGGCUCAACCCUGGAACUGCCUUUGAUACUGCUAGUCUUGAGUUCGAGAGAGGUGAGUGGAAUUCCAAGUGUAGAGGUGAAAUUCGUAGAUAUUUGGAGGAACACCAGUGGCGAAGGCGGCUCACUGGCUCGAUACUGACGCUGAGGUACGAAAGUGUGGGGAGCAAACAGGAUUAGAUACCCUGGUAGUCCACACCGUAAACGAUGAAUGCCAGUCGUCGGGCAGUAUACUGUUCGGUGACACACCUAACGGA
rnacentral:rRNA from 1 species